CACGCUGCCAUAUUUUUUUUUAUAGUGAUGGUUUGUACUCAACCGUUACAAAAACCCAAGCAAAAUAAACGCCCGCCAAAUUCAAUUCUCAUUUCGCGCAGAAUCAAAUUUUUUUUUUUUGGGUGGGUUUGGGUGAAUAACAUAUCAGAAUUUCAAUCCACAAAAAAAACCGUUCAACUCACAAUUUGUGCCCUAGUCUAUCAACACUUCUUUUACGAAGUAUCAGAGCCUUCCUUCAUCCUCUCCUGCGGCGUAUUGACGACAUCAAGCUAUACAACAUCACUGUGAUUUCAAGGACUCAAAGUAGCUUCAAAGUCACGAUUUAGCCGAUGCAGUGAAACAAGUGAAGGCAAAGUGUAGAUUCAAGGAGCUGUUGAUAAUGGUUGACACUUGCCAAGUUGCUACUCUCUUUGCUGGUAUGGAGUUUGGGGAGUAGAGCUGUUAUGGGCUGCUGAUUUAGAGCUCUUUGCUGCUGACCUGGUUUUGCUCUGGGCUACUGGCGACAGAUGUAUCUAGUGGCAUUCUAAAAAAGGCUUCUCCACAAACACAUCAAAGAUUCUCUUUUGGGAGUCAUGAAAUGCGACCUUCUAAUCAGGGUAAGUCAUCAUUACAAUACACAUAUAUUGACACAAAUUUAGAGCCAUUGUUAAUGACUUCUUUACCAAUAAAUUGUUAGUUAGUUUGGACAAAAUUGGGAUUUGAUAGGUUGACUUCUCUACUUUGCUUCCUUUAUUGGCAUCCGUAAAAAUACCAAACAAACCAGUGAAAUAGAGAAUUGGGCAAUCGAACAAAUAUGAAUAUCAAUGUAUCAAACUGUAAUAUACAAUUAAAAAUAGACCCUUGGAUGUUGCUAUUGGUUGCUUGAUUUGGUGGCUGCUACU